UAAUACGGAGGGUGCGAGCGUUGUCCGGAAUCACUGGGCGUAAAGAGCGCGUAGGCGGCCGUUUAAGUCAUUUGUGAAAUGCCGGGGCUCAACUCCGGAACUGCACGUGAUACUGGACAGCUAGAGAGCGGUAGAGGCGAGCGGAAUUCCCGGUGUAGCGGUGGAAUGCGUAGAUAUCGGGAAGAACACCAGAGGCGAAGGCGGCUCGCUGGGCCGAUGCUGACGCUGAGGCGCGAAAGCGUGGGUAGCAAACAGGAUUAGAUACCCUGGUAGUCCACGCCGUAAACGAUGGGCACUAGGCGUCGGGAGGUGCGACCCUUUCGGUGCCGUCGCUAACGCAAUAAGUGCCCCGCCUGGGGAGUACGGCCGCAAGGCUG
rnacentral:rRNA from 1 species